rnacentral:rRNA from 1 species
UAUCCUGUCUGAAUAUGGGGGGACCAUCCUCCAAGGCUAAAUACUCCUGACUGACCGAUAGUGAACCAGUACCGUGAGGGAAAGGCGAAAAGAACCCCGGCGAGGGGAGUGAAAAAGAACCUGAAACCGUGUACGUACAAGCAGUGGGAGCACAGGUUUACCUGUGUGACUGCGUACCUUUUGUAUAAUGGGUCAGCGACUUAUAUUCUGUAGCAAGGUUAACCGAAUAGGGGAGCCGGAGGGAAACCGAGUCUUAACCGGGCGUUAAGUUGCAGGGUAUAGACCCGAAACCCGGUGAUCUAGCCAUGGGCAGGUUGAAGGUUGGGUAACACUAACUGGAGGACCGAACCGACUAAUGUUGAAAAAUUAGCGGAUGACCUGUGGCUGGGGGUGAAAGGCCAAUCAAACCGGGAGAUAGCUGGUUCUCCCCGAAAGCUAUUUAGGUAGCGCCUCGUGAAUUCAUCUCCGGGGGUAGAGCACUGUUUCGGCUAGGGGGCCAUCCCGGCUUACCAACCCGAUGCAAACUGCGAAUACCGGAGAAUGUUAUCACGGGAGACACACGGCGGGUGCUAACGUCCGUCGUGAAGAGGGAAACAACCCAGACCGCCAGCUAAGGUCCCAAAGUCAUGGUUAAGUGGGAAACGAUGUGGGAAGGCCCAGACAGCCAGGAUGUUGGCUUAGAAGCAGCCAUCAUUUAAAGAAAGCGUAAUAGCUCACUGGUCGAGUCGGCCUGCGCGGAAGAUGUAACGGGGCUAAACCAUGCACCGAAGCUGCGGCAGCGACACUGUGUGUUGUUGGGUAGGGGAGCGUUCUGUAAGCCUGUGAAGGUGUGUCGUGAGGCAUGCUGGAGGUAUCAGAAGUGCGAAUGCUGACAUAAGUAACGAUAAAGCGGGUGAAAAGCCCGCUCGCCGGAAGACCAAGGGUUCCUGUCCAACGUUAAUCGGGGCAGGGUGAGUCGACCCCUAAGGCGAGGCCGAAAGGCGUAGUCGAUGGGAAACGGGUUAAUAUUCCCGUACUUGGUGUUACUGCGAAGGGGGGACGGAGAAGGCUAUGUUGGCCGGGCGACGGUUGUCCCGGUUUAAGCGUGUAGGUGUGUGUUCCAGGUAAAUCCGGUUCACUUUAACACUGAGGCGUGACGACGAGGCACUACGGUGCUGAAGCAACAAAUGCCCUGCUUCCAGGAAAA